GCCCAGGUGGCGCAAUUGGCAGACGCGCCGGUCUCAGAAGCCGGUUGUUGUGGGUUCAAAUCCCACCCUGGCACCA
rnacentral:tRNA from 1 species